rnacentral:rRNA from 1 species
UUAGUGUAAAUUGGGUUUUUUAGUAUUAAAAGUGUUCUUUAAAUUAAAAAAGUUUGGCGGUAUUUAAGUCUGACUAGAGGAACUUGGAGCUUAAACGAUGAUCCCCGAUAAUCUUACCUUAAUUUGUAUAUCAGCUUAUAUACCGUUGUCUUCAGAUUACGUUUUUAGAUGUUGUUGAUUAAAAUUUUUUAAGUCAGAUCAAGGUGUAGCUUAUGUUGAGGUUGCUGUGAGUUACAAUAUUAUUAAGUAUACGGAUUUUAGUAUGAAAUUUUUUGAUGAAGGUGGAUUUAGUUGUAAGUUUUAUUUAUUAUGUAAGGCUGAAUGAGUGCUUUUAUAUGU